GUUUGAUCCUGGCUCAGGAUAAACGCUGGCGGCGCACAUAAGACAUGCAAGUCGAACGGACUUUAACCGAAGUAGUUUAUAGUUUUGGAGCGGUUAGUGGCGGACUGGUGAGUAACACGUAAGCAACCUGCCUAUUAGAGGGGAAUAACAGUGAGAAAUCAUUGCUAAUACCGCAUAUGCUGUGAGUAUCGCAUGGUACAAACAGGAAAGGAGCAAUCCGCUAAUAGAUGGGCUUGCGUCUGAUUAGAUGGUUGGUGGGGUAACGGCCUACCAAGUCAACGAUCAGUAGCCGAACUGAGAGGUUGAACGGCCACAUUGGGACUGAGAUACGGCCCAGACUCCUACGGGAGGCAGCAGUCGGGAAUAUUGCACAAUGGAGGAAACUCUGAUGCAGUGACGCCGCGUGCAGGAAGAAGGUUUUCGGAUUGUAAACUGCUUUAGACAGGGAAGAGACAAGACAGUACCUGUAGAAUAAGCUCCGGCUAACUACGUG
rnacentral:rRNA from 1 species